rnacentral:lncRNA from 1 species
UCGGAGAACUCCGAAUGGUGUACAGGACAGGGAUGCAGAGAUGAGGCAAUAAUUAGCAAGGAACAAUUGAGUGUUUGUUCCUCUGCAGCAGCUGUGAGAUCUUAUCGUGUGGAAAAGCGAGAUAAUAGUUAUACAACAUAGAGAGUAAGAGAAGUCGAUACGCACAGCGUCACACCCGACUAACGUCUGGAUAGAAUCUCGAUGUGUUUGAAAGGAUAUCUAAGCAUUCUCUAGGUCUUGAUAGAAAGCUAAACGGGUCUUGAGAAUGAUCUGCCAUCGUAUACUUGAGUCAAGGUCUGACGAUCCAACUACUGCUGCUUUACACAUCGACGCUUGUGUUCAACAGUACAAAAUACGGAAUCUGGGCUUACAUAGCUUAGUGAGAACGUGAUUGAGAAGCAACGAAUUAUCACACAUCAUGCUAAUGAUAAUAUCAAUCAUGUAAAACUAAAGAAGGAUUGAAAUACACAAGGGAAGUAACUUUAAUUUGAUUGAAUAUAUUCCUCCCAAGUUAAGUCUUUAUGUUUGAUUAAAUUGAAUUCAAUUCAAAUUCAACGCCUAGAAAUGAAUAGAAACCUCAGGGCUUUAGAAAUUCAUGUACAAUAUGUAAACUGGAUGUAAAAUUACCUUGAG